rnacentral:rRNA from 1 species
GACGAACGCUGGCGGCGUGCUUAACACAUGCAAGUCGAACGAGACGAUUUAGAAGCUUGCUUUUAUUGAGUCGAGUGGCAAACGGGUGAGUAACGCGUAGACAACCUGCCGCAAAGAUGGGGACAACAGUCCGAAAGGACUGCUAAUACCGAAUGUUGUAUCUCCUCGCAUGGAAGAGAUAUUAAAGAUGGCCUCUACUUGUAAGCUAUCGCUUUGCGAUGGGUCUGCGUCUGAUUAGCUAGUUGGUGGGGCAAACGGCCUACCAAGGCGACGAUCAGUAGCCGGUCUGAGAGGAUGAACGGCCACAUUGGAACUGAGACACGGUCCAGACU